CAGUCGCCACGGGAAUACAGAGGGUGCAAGCGUUAAUCGGAAUUACUGGGCGUAAAGCGCGCGUAGGUGGUUCGCCAAGUUGGAUGUGAAAUCCCCGGGCUCAACCUGGGAACUGCACCCAAAACUGGCGAGCUAGAGUAUGGUAGAGGGUGGUGGAAUUUCCUGUGUAGCGGUGAAAUGCGUAGAUAUAGGAAGGAACAUCAGUGGCGAAGGCGACCACCUGGACUGAUACUGACACUGAGGUGCGAAAGCGUGGGGAGCAAACAGGAUUAGAUACCCCGGUAGUCCCUGUCUCUUAUAC
rnacentral:rRNA from 1 species